AGUGAACGCUGGCGGUAGGCCUAACACAUGCAAGUCGAACGGCCGCACAGUAAGAGCUUGCUCUUACGGGUGGCGAGUGGCGGACGGGUGAGGAAUACAUCGGCAUCUACUUUUUCGUGGGGGAUAACGUAGGGAAACUUACGCUAAUACCGCAUACGACCUACGGGUGAAAGCAGUGGAUCUUCGGACCUUGCGCGAUUGAAUGAGCCGAUGUCGGAUUAGCUAGUUGGCGGGGUAAAGGCCCACCAAGGCGACGAUCCGUAGCUGGUCUGAGAGGAUGAUCAGCCACACUGGAACUGAGACACGGUCCAGACUCCUACGGGAGGCAGCAGUAGGGAAUAUUGGACAAUGGGCGCAAGCCUGAUCCAGCCAUACCGCGUGGGUGAAGAAGGCCUUCGGGUUGUAAAGCCCUUUUGUUGGGAAAGAAAAGCAGCAGGUUAAUACCCCGCUGUUCUGACAGUACCCAAAGAAUAAGCACCGGCUAACUUCGUG
rnacentral:rRNA from 1 species